GGACACAUUUGUACAGGGAUGAGUUGAGCCUGAUCACUGACUGCCUGAAGACCAGAAAAGGACAACUGGGAGGCUUGGAGAUGCUGGAUCCUUCAGCCAGCAGACUGGUCAACCCCGAAGGUCUGUUUUUCCCUCCCCUGCUUGUGGCAGGCCUCUCCAAGAGGCAUAACCCUUUGGGGUGCCCUGAAGGAUCCCCUAGGCUUCCCCAAGCCUGCCAAGCGCCCAGUACUUGAAGAGAAGCCAGGCCUUUUAGCACUGCCAUCAGGU
rnacentral:lncRNA from 1 species